rnacentral:rRNA from 1 species
GACGAACGCUGGCGGCGUGCUUAACACAUGCAAGUCGAACGAAGUGGCGCAGGGGUGAGUAACGCGUAAACAACCUGCCCAGCAGAGGGGGACAACAGUUGGAAACGACUGCUAAUACAGAAUCCGGAAGGAGGGGAGUGAGUGUGAUUAGUUAGUGGGAGGGGUAACGGCACAGGAAGGCGAGGAUCAGUAGCCGGUCUGAGAGGAUGAUCGGCCACAUUGGGACUGAGACACGGCCCAGACUCCUACGGGAGGCAGCAGUGGGGAAUCUUCCGCAAUGGACGAAAGUCUGACGGAGCAACGCCGCGUGAGUGAUGACGGCCUUCGGGUUGUAAAGCUCUUUUAAUCGGGACGCGGUACCGGAAUAGAAAGCCACGGCUAACUACGUGCCAGCAGCCGCGGUAAUUC